GUGUUCAUAGAAAGGAGAGAUGGUUGGCAUCUCCCCUGACAGGGACAAGACAGCCUUUGGCCUUACCUGUUACCUACACAUCCGGUUAAGGCUCCGCACCUCUCCAAGUGGAUCUAUAACCACAACCCAACUUUUUA